UGAGUAAUGUCUGGGAAACUGCCUGAUGGAGGGGGAUAACUACUGGAAACGGUAGCUAAUACCGCAUAACGUCGCAAGACCAAAGAGGGGGACCUUCGGGCCUCUUGCCAUCAGAUGUGCCCAGAUGGGAUUAGCUAGUAGGUGGGGUAAUGGCUCACCUAGGCGACGAUCCCCAGCUGGUCUGAGAGGAUGACCAGCCACACUGGAACUGAGACACGGUCCAGACUCCUACGGGAGGCAGCAGUGGGGAAUAUUGCACAAUGGGCGCAAGCCUGAUGCAGCCAUGCCGCGUGUGUGAAGAAGGCCUUCGGGUUGUAAAGCACUUUCAGCGAGGAGGAAGGUGGUGAACUUAAUACGUUCAUCAAUUGACGUUACUCGCAGAAGAAGCACCGGCUAACUCCGUGCCAGCAGCCGCGGUAAUACGGAGGGUGCAAGCGUUAAUCGGAAUUACUGGGCGUAAAGCGCACGCAGGCGGUUUGUUAAGUCAGAUGUGAAAUCCCCGGG
rnacentral:rRNA from 1 species